rnacentral:rRNA from 1 species
AGAGGGUGCGAACGUUGCUCGGGAUUUACUGGGGCGUAAAGCGCGUGUAGGCGGACUCGCAAGUCGGGUUGUGAAAUCCCUGGGGCUCAACCUAGGGAACUGCAUCCGAAACUGCUUGUCUUGAGUAAUGGAGAGGGUGGCGGAAUUCCCGGUGUAGAGGUGAAAUUCGUAGAUAUCGGGAGGAACAUCAGUGGCGAAGGCGGCCACCUGGACAUUUACUGACGCUGAGACGCGAAAGCGUGGGGAGCAAACAGGAUUAGAUACCCUGGUAGUCCACGCCGUAAACGAUGAGCAUUAGGUGCAGCGGAUAUUGACCUCUGCUGUGCCGUAGCUAACGCGUUAAAUGCUCCGCCUGGGGAGUACGGCCGCAAGGCUA